UAACUAUGCACGUCUUGACGGUACCUAAUCAGAAAGCCACGGCUAACUACGUGCCAGCAGCCGCGGUAAUACGUAGGUGGCAAGCGUUAUCCGGAAUUAUUGGGCGUAAAGCGCGCGUAGGCGGUUUUUUAAGUCUGAUGUGAAAGCCCACGGCUCAACCGUGGAGGGUCAUUGGAAACUGGAAAACUUGAGUGCAGAAGAGGAAAGUGGAAUUCCAUGUGUAGCGGUGAAAUGCGCAGAGAUAUGGAGGAACACCAGUGGCGAAGGCGACUUUCUGGUCUGUAACUGACGCUGAUGUGCGAAAGCGUGGGGAUCAAACAGGAUUAGAUACCCUGGUAGUCCACGCCGUAAACGAUGAGUGCUAAGUGUUAGGGGGUUUCCGCCCCUUAGUGCUGCAGCUAACGCAUUAAGCACUCCGCCUGGGGAGUACGACCGCAAGGUUGAAACUCAAAGGAAUUGACGGGGACCCGCACAAGCGGUGGAGCAUGUGGUUUAAUUCG
rnacentral:rRNA from 1 species